rnacentral:rRNA from 1 species
UUCUCUUGUUCUCCCCGCCUAUAUACCGCCGUCGUCAGCCCACCCUGUGAAGGCCCAGUAGUGAGCGAAAUUGGCAGAGCCCAAAACGUCAGGCCGAGGUGUAGCGUAUGAGAAGGGAAGAAAUGGGCUACAAUUGCUAAAACAGCUAAAACGAAUUGUAACGCUGAAAACGCACACAUGAAGGAGGAUUUAGAAGUAAGGGGGCAAACAGAGUGUCCCCCUGAAAUGGUUCUGAAGCGUGCACACACCGCCCGUCACUCUCCCCAAGUUAGAACACUCCAUAGUAACUAAACACUUAACCCUACAAAGGGGAGGCAAGUCGUAACAUGGUAAGUGUACCGGAAGGUGCACUUGGAAGAAAC